UACGGAGGGUGCAAGCGUUGUUCGGAAUUACUGGGCGUAAAGGGCGUGUAGGCGGUUUGGCAAGUCAGAUGUGAAAUCCCUUAGCUUAACUAAGGAAGUGCAUUUGAAACUUCUUAACUAGAGUACAGGAGGGGAAAGUGGAAUUCCCAGUGUAGAGGUGAAAUUCAUAGAUAUUGGGAGGAACACCGGUGGCGAAGGCGGCUUUCUGGCCUGAUACUGACGCUGAGACGCGAAAGCGUGGGGAGCAAACAGGAUUAGAUACCCGCGUA
rnacentral:rRNA from 1 species